UUAUAGCAAAAAAAUAUCUUUAUCGAUGUCAUUGCUUACCUAUAUUGAGGUUGCAAUUCAACAUUGGCAGCUGAGGAAUAUUUGUCCAGAUUUUCUUCUGCCAAAAACUUAAAACAUUGGCCAAGCAUUUAUGGGAUGGACCCACACUUUUCAUCAUUUUUCUUUCCCUUUUAGACACUACACGUACAACACAAAGAAAAAAAAAAGAGAUUCUCUCAUAUCUCACUUUCUCUCUCUUAAUUUACUCUCUCUUUCUUUUAUCUUUACUGUCAUCCACCUCAGAAUAUUUUCCUUUCAUUUUCCGAUAAAACUAAGAACAAUCAGCAACAACAGGGCUCUUUCAUUUUUUUUUUUUGACAUUUUUAUAAACAACAACUACUUCCUCCACUAUUAUCCAGAUCCCGCUAGCCACCAGAUCCAGCCAUCACUAAUAAACCAGAUCCGACGACCUCCCCGACAAAUACACUCCAAAUUUGGUAGUCCGCUACCAUCACUGAAAGUAAUAUUAUGUUGUUUAAUUUUCUUAGUGAUUUUAUUUUUUUUGUGAUAUAUUGAUAUUGUUUUAUCUGUGCUAAAAUAUUUUUGGCCAAUGAUAUUAUCUCUCCGUCGGAUAUUUGAGGUCACCCCAUUAUAAAAGAUGAUUUUUAUUUUUUAAUUUAUUUAUUUUUCUGGAGGAAUUUGGACUCCAAUAGCAUUUAAUUUCGUUCAAUAUGCUAUUAUCAUGUUAUUAAAGUAGUUGUCUUUUGUUACUUUUCCUUGAUGGCUCAUUGUUAUCCGGUUGUUUAUAUUAUUAUUUUUACUUUAUUACUUUAUUUCUCCAAUUUUCUUGCAUUGAUGUUAUUUUAUCAUCCAUGUUGAUUUGUUUUGCUGUCAAACCACUCACGUGGUUUAAUGUUAUUUUAAUUAUUUAAAAUGUUCUUUGAUAUUAUACUUUAGUGAUCCCUUUUUUUUUUGCUUUUGUGAAAUUUCUUUUUUAAAAAAAAAAAAAAUUAUUUUGCACUUUAACAUGUGUUCUUGUUUAUACGGAUUAACACAUGGCCGAUAAAUACGUAUAUACUUUGGGAAAUGAUGAAAUUGUUAUAAUUUUUUUGAAAACUUUAUCUGAGCCCGCUUUUUACUAAAAAUUAUAUUUUUUAAUACAUAUAUGUGCGCAUGCCUUUUUAUAAGUAUUUCUUUGUUACUAACAUUUUUACUACAAGUAUUUGUACACGUUCUCGGGAAUACUUGUCGAACAGGACACUCAAAAAGAGAGUUCAAGCUUAUUUUAUGUUUGUAUUUUUUUUAAUUUUUAUAGUUGCACAAAUAUUAUCAUAGUGAAACUUUAUUUUUUGAGGUGUUGGGCGGGGAUGUUCUUUAUUUAUGUAAUCUUUAACACACGUGUAGGCAAAUUUAGGCCGUCAAUAUUUAUAUUAAAUUGAUUUAGACAUCUAAUCAAAUAAUUCACAAUUUUUACACUAAAAACAUUACAUAAUCUUUUCUUUAAAAUAAAUUUUCUUUUAUUCAAUCUUUAUUUUUCUUUUCAUAUACGUUCUUAUAUAUAAUUUUAUUUACAUAUUUUCAUAUACUUUUAUACAAGUUUUACUAUAAUAUAGAUAAUUUGUACAUCUUUUAUACAUAAAUUAUUUACAUCAUUUUAAUACACAUUUCAUAUUUGUAUACACACACACACACACACACACACACACACACACACAUAUAUAUAUAUAUAUAUAUAUAUAUAUAUAUAUAUAUUUUUAAUCUUUUAAUAAACCUAAGUCUGGUCGGGAACUACAUUUGUGAAUUUUGAAGGGUGACUAAUAUCUUUUCUUCGGAAUAAUUUGAACCCUUACCUAGAAUCUAAAUUGGUUCGUAGAUUAAAACACAAGUCAUACAUGUUAAUAAAUAAAUGAAUUUCCUUAUUUUCCUUAAAAAUUAAGUGGCGACUCUGUACAUAAUUUUUUUUAUUCUUUUAGAGUCCAUAAGUCGUGCUUGUUGACAGAAUGACGACUCUAAUGGGGAGAUGCAAGGUUCUAACCAUUACAGAUUUAGGUAAAUAUUUAUUUUUUUCUGCAUUAUUAUUUAUGUCUUUCUAAUUGUCAUGAUUUAUCAUGUUUGUGUGUACAAAUUGCUAUUUGUUUUGUAUAGUUUGUUUAUUUGUUUAUUGCUUUAUAUAAAUUGUUAUCUCGUUCAUAUUUCUUCCAUUUGAGAAAAGCUGCCACAAUCAAGUGAGGUGUUUCUUACGCACCCACAAAUUUUUUUCAAAAUCUUAAAUUUUAGGAGAGUUGGCGUAUGCGCAGGGUGUCUGGAUCUUUUUCUGCGUGCCCGUGUAGCCUUCUCACUCGAGUAGUCCGCUCGAGAACCACAGGUCUAGCAAACUCACUCUUAGUCGAACAUAGGAUAGAGCUAAAAUAAUACCUUUUAGGUGCAUGCAUUGUCAGUCAACUUUAUGUCUGAAGGGUUCACGACCCAAGUGACACGUCAUCAUAUUCUUUGUACAUAUUUGAACAAUUAUUGUGUCUUUACAUAUUUGUUUGCUCUAAAUUGGUUAUACUUUAGUGAGAAGGUAUAGUCUAACCUUUAUUUUGCAUAGUGGAUUAGUUAAAAGAUACACCUUACCAACAUCACCACUAGUUGUGUUUAGUCCUAAACUAUGCAGACCUGAUUCUUGUUUUCACAGGAUACGUAGGCAACCCUCAUUUAGGUUCGGUCCCAUUUUUUUUUUACAAAAAAAAAAUAUAAAAAAAUUGACUUGGUUGAUACCAAUAUAAUUAGGAGUGCAUGAGAGAGAAUAAUUGGUAUGAUGGAGAGGACCGACUUCAUGGUAAACCAUAGGUUCUUUUGGUACCUUUUAUCACACCUGAGUAAUACUUGAAAAAUUCUCUUUCAUACAUCUAAGACAAGAAUGAAACCAACCUCAUCGUUUCAUGUGCAUUGUCUGGUGAGAUUUAGUUUAUAAUUCAUUACAUUGCAUUGUUGAUCUAGAACUUGGCCUAAAUGUUUUUUGAGGCAAAAUUCUGAGUUACAAUUGAUUUAGGAAAGGAUCGUAGGCCUUUUCUGACCUGAUUGAGACUUUCAUAACCCACCAAUUGACAUUAAUCCCCAGCAUUCACCUUUUGUGCCUAAAACUUUUUCUUUGGACAACCGCAUUUGUGCCUAUACCUUUUUGAGUGCUUAUGUGCACUAUCCCUCUUUUGACCCUACCUUCUUGAGCGCACUAAAUAUGUACAAAUUGUGGACAGAGAUUCAAGAUCAAAGAUGUAAAAUAUACAGGAUAUAUUGUCCCAGAUUAAAAAAAUUAAAAAAAACGACUUCAAAGGAGCAAAAACUCGAUAAAACAUUACAAAAAUAUAUAGUUUGUCAAAAAAAGAAAAAAAAAGGGAAAACUCCAACAUGAGAUUCAAAAGAAGUCAAAGCAAAUACAAAACAAGGGGCAAAGAAACAUAACAGAGAAGAUCGAGCGUCAAAACGCAAUAAAUGUCAAAAGCACGAAUACAGUGCAAUGCUCAGUAAGGAAUUAGUCACUUUUAUCUCAAAUAUUAUCCUACCCGUCCCUAAGCCUACAUUACAAGCCGAUAGCAAGUCCUACGAGAUUAUAUUUUAAGUGUUCUCACAUUAGUAGAUACUUACAUAAAGGUCAAGCCUAUGGUAUCGCAAUUGCAUGCAUUGAAUUUCUUUUUGAGUGUGAGUGUAUUUCUUAAUACGUCCAAAAAAAAAUUGUGUGAAAUGGGACUUUAUUUCUAGAUAGGACACUUGAAACAAGAGAAUAGGCAUAGUUCAAAAUCUUUGUUUGAAGCAAGACGAACAAAUCUUGUCGAUACUUAGGCAUGGAUGAGGUACCACUUGAAACUAUAGGAGUUACCCUGAAUUCGAUCUCAGUUAGCUGAGAAAGAGAUGAGGAAAUUAUUUUGCACACUACUAAUUAUUGGUACCAACUGAAGUCAAGACACACUCGUGUCUUCAUUAUUUUUCAACACUUUUACCAGCCACAGUCUUCGUAGGCAAUUAGAGAUGUCAAGCAUCUUUUUGAUCCGUAAUAGCAAAAUAUUUUUUUCAAUUUCCAUAGAAGAAGUCAGUGCCAGCGUAAAUCAUACACUGGGGAAAAUUUUGAGAGUCGCCUCAAAAUUUAUUCUAUUUUUCUUAUUUUAAACUACAUUGACCUGAUUCUCGUAACACUCGAGAUAUGUAGAAAGCUCUAUGAAGAGUUCAGUCAUCACAACUGCACAAUCAUUCUUUCUCCCCUACAAUUAUACAAUUUUGCAUCCCCCAGCAUCUCAUAGUUCGAUACUGGGCAAUUUUGAAAGCAGCAUUAGGAAUAAGUGAUCAAUUUCCUCCCCAAAUAAUUCUUUGCUAAAUAUUCGUUCCAAAAUAGGUCGUCCGCCUUUCAAUGAGACACGUUGGACCAUCACUUUGUUCAAAGUGACAUGUUAUACUCAAAAUAGGUUUUCCGCCUUUCAAUGAGACACGUUGGACCAUCACUCCGUUUAAAGUGACAUGUUAUACUCAAAAUAGGUCGUCUUCCUUUCAAUGAGACAUGUUAGACCAUCACUCCAUUCAAAGUGACAUAUUAUAUCCAAAAUAGAUUGUCCACCUUUUAAUGGGACACGUUGGACCAUCACUCCAUUCAAAGUGACAUAUUACAUCCAAAAUAGGUCGUCCGUCUUUCAAUGAGACGCAUUGGAUCGUCACUCCGUUCAAAGUGGCACGUUAUAUCCAAAAUAGGUCGUCUGCCUUUCAGUGAGACAUAUUGGACCGUCACUCUAUUCAAAGUGACAUGUUAAAUCCAAAAUAGGUCGUCCGCUUUUCAAUGAGACAUGUUGGACUGUCACUCCAUUCAAAGUGACAUAUUAAAUCCAAAAUAGGUCGUUCGCCUUUCAAUGAGACACGUUAGACUGUCACUCCGUUCAAAGUGACAUGUAACAUCCAAAAUAGGUCGUCCGCCUUUCCAUAAGACACGUUGGACCGGAACAUCACUCCAUUCAAAGUGACAUGUUACAUCCAAAAUAGGUCGUCCGCCAUUCAAUGAGACACAUUGGACUGUCACUCCGUUCAAAGUGGCAUAUUACAUCCAAAAUAGGUCGUCCGCCUUUCAAUGAGAUAUGUUGGACCGUUACUCCGUUCAAAGUGCAUGUUACAUCCAAAAUAGGUCAUCGGUCUUUCAAUGAGACACGUUGAAAUGUCACUUCGUUCAAAGUGACAUAUUACAUCCAAAAUAGGUCGUCUGCCUUUCAAUGAGACAUGUUGAACUGUUACUCGAUUCAAAGAGACAUGUUAAAUUCAAAAUAGGUCGUCUGCCUUUCAAUGAGACAUGUUAGACCGUCACUCCGUCCAAAGUGACAUGUUAUAUCCAAAAUAGGUUGUCCGCCUUUCAAUAAGACACAUUGGACAGUCACUCCAUUCAAAGUGGCAUGUUACAUCCAAGAUAGGUCGUCCACCUUUCAAUGAGACAGAUUAGACUUCGAGUAAAAUUGCUACGUGUCAAAAUUUUCGUUUGAAGAGUUCUACAUUAUCUUCGAACGCAAAGGGGAAAGUUGUUGACACCCAAUUUUGGCUCUCCAUAAAUGGCACAAAAUGCAAUUUUCACACAUUUUUGUAAUUGUUGAUAAAUUAUUGAUAAUCAUCAUUAUUGUAGGAUUUUUACUCAUUUAUCGUCAUAUUGUAAAUUUUCAUAAAUCUUAGAAUUUUUAUCAGUGUAUUUUAUUAUUGCACAGUAAUUUGCUACAUACAUAGCACAACACUGUAAUUUUUACUGCACAGUAUAAUUUUAAUUAUUUAUAACAUAAUAUAUUAGUUCAAAGAAAAAUAAAUUUCUUUGUUGUUUAUAUUCUUCUAUAUUUAUACAUCGGCAUUCAUAUUUUUGUAUAUUAUUUAAUACGACUCAUAAAUGUGAGUCAAUUUAAUUAUUUUAAUACACUAUAUAACAAUAAAUUCAGUGUCUUUAUUUAUAGCAAAAAAUUAUCUUCGUUGAUGUCAUUGCUUACCUAUAUUGAGGUUGCAAUUCAACAUUGGCAGUUGAGGAAUAUUUGUGAAGAUUUUCUUCUGCCAAAAGGUUGAAAAAACUUGUCAAAAAUUUGAAACAUUGGCCAAACAUUUAUGGGAUGAACCCACAUUUUUCAUCAUUUUUCUUUCCCUUUUAGACACUACACGUACAACACAAAGAAAAAAAAGAGAUACUCUCCUACCUCACUUUCUCUCUCUUAAUUCACUCUCUCUUUCUUUUAUCUUUACUGUCAUCCACUCCAGAAUAUUUUCCUUUCAUUUUCCUAUAAAACAAAGAACAACCAGCAACAACAAGGCUUUUCGAUUUUUUUUUGACAUUUUUAUAAACAACAAUUACUCCCUCCAUUAAUCUCCAAAUCCCGCUAGCCACCAGAUCCAGUCACCACUGCCAAACCAGAUUCGGUGACCUCCUCGGCACACACACUCCAGAUCUGGUUCUCAGGAAUACUUGUCGAAAAGGACACUCAAAAAGAGAGUUCAAGCUUAUUUUAUGUUUGUAUUUUUUUUAUUCUUAUAGUUGCACAAAUAUUAUCAUAGUGAAACUUUAUUUUUU